rnacentral:rRNA from 1 species
GGCCAGACUCCUACGGGAGGCAGCAGUAGGGAAUAUUGCUCAAUGGGGGAAACCCUGAAGCAGCAACGCCGCGUGAAGGAAGAAGGCUUUCGGGUUGUAAACUUCUUUUGACAGGGAAGAGUAGAAGACGGUACCUGUCGAAUAAGCCACGGCUAACUACGUGCCAGCAGCCGCGGUAAUACGUAGGUGGCAAGCGUUGUCCGGAUUUACUGGGUGUAAAGGGCGUGUAGCCGGGUUGACAAGUCAGAUGUGAAAUCCCGCGGCUCAACCGCGGAACUGCAUUUGAAACUGUCAGUCUUGAGUACCGGAGAGGUCAUCGGAAUUCCUUGUGUAGCGGUGAAAUGCGUAGAUAUAAGGAAGAACACCAGUGGCGAAGGCGGAUGACUGGACGGCAACUGACGGUGAGGCGCGAAAGCGUGGGGAGCAAACAGGAUUAGAUACCCUAGUAA